rnacentral:rRNA from 1 species
UACAGGGGGUGCAAACGUUGCUCGGAAUUAUUGGGCGUAAAGCGCGCGUAGGCGGCUACUUAAGUCGGAUGUGAAAGCCCCUGGCUCAACCGGGGAAGUGCACCCGAAACUGAGUAGCUAGAGUACUAAAGAGGGUCGCGGAAUUCCCGGUGUAGAGGUGAAAUUCGUAGAUAUCGGGAGGAACACCGGUGGCGAAGGCGGCGACCUGGGUAGAUACUGACGCUGAGGCGCGAAAGCGUGGGGAGCAAACAGG